CUGUAUUUGCUGGUCAGUAUGA
rnacentral:siRNA from 1 species